AAGUGUAGCUUUGCGCAUGCUCUUUGCGACGUAAAUUACGAAGAUCGUAAAUUACGAAAGAUUUACGUGUCUUCGUAUUUUACGUCUAUUUACGUCUUAUUUAGAUACGUUGAUUUACGCAACAUCGCUAGGUCAUAAUGACACGUGCACUGUGUGAUUACACUCCAUCAUUUGACAUUAGUAUAGGAGCUCUUGAACAUGCAUCUUUAUUAAUUAAUUAAGAAUAAUACCGCCGUUCAGUACAUGCAAAUGUGUGUAAGCCGUAUACAGAGUACUACACAAGGCUAGAGACCAAAGGUUUGACGGAGCCGUCAAUCUGUGUGAACUGAAGGUGCCGCCUAUGGGAGGGUCUACGCAGUGUACAAUUGUGGUUGAUAGGGGUUGAGCUGUCAUUAGACACUUCGUGCCAAGAAUGGAUGGUUCGCUAGAACUGGUGAAAGGCAACAAAGACCGGUUGCAAUACACGGUAAGCAAACCGAAAUUCGAUUAGCUGCCUAUAGUAUUGGCAAGACCUUUUCUAGAGGAGACGUACAAAAAAGGCUUCUAUGAGCUAAACUUCGAUUCAAAAAGCCUGUGGUCAAAGUCUACUGUAGAGUUGGUAUUAUGCAAGACAUUCGGCAGCGCAUAAAACGCCAUGAAUGUAACACAGCACGAUCGCGACGGCCUCGUCAUUCUAGGAAUUCCAGAUCCGUAUGUCGCGCCACGUUACCAACGCAGUACUCAUCACAACAUUCACCUCUUGAUCAUGAACAGGCAGUCGGUGAUGAAGGUUUGGGAAACCUGCAGCUGUCGUCAAUUGCAAGCUCGGAACUACGUAUUUGUCGUGCACGUGACAAUUGUAGUUCAUUAUCACAAUAUUUAAAUUCAAUUUGUGGUAACAGGUGAAAUAGAUUUCCAAGCUGCAGGGCUAGUGACAGCUGCAGGUAGCGUACCCACUUCCAAGCAACAGGUGCAUGCUUUUGAACAAUCAUGACCAUGGGCUGCCCCGUGACGCUGGGACUUCUAGCUAAACGACAGACUCUUUUUUGAUUGAAAUAAUUCAAAUUAUCGAUGGGAAGACGAUUCUACCUGGAAGCAGAAGAAGACAACUGCCAUCAAGGGAACUAAAUCAGGAAAAAAUUAUUUGGAAUCAAAAAAACUGUCAACUAAUUUAUCUUGUGAUUUUGUAAUUUGUAUUAUAUCAUUUUGUAAUUAACAUAAUUAUUUUGAUAAUAAAGGAAAUUUGCA